GAUGAUGACCACAACACCCUGAAUAUGCCUGAUCUUAUCUGAUCUCAGAAGCUAAGCAGGGCUGGGCCUGGUUAGUACUUGGAUAGAAGAAAGAAAAAACAUUACUAGGAGCUACCACUU
rnacentral:rRNA from 1 species